AAAGAUUAAUGAACACAGGCUCCCUUCCAAUUGUUUUGGUUUGGUUUUCACCUUAUAACGGCAUGGCCCCUGGAAAGACCGCUUUCGUUAGGACCGCUUCGAAACCUACUGGAGGUUGCCGUUUCUAGCUCAGUGUGAGAGCACUCGUCUAGCAUGUGGAGACUCUGGGUUCCAACCCAGCAUCAAAAGCAAAGCAAAACAAACAACUUUUCUUUCUGUGCUAAGACCGGACCUGGCGUAAACAGGCAGGGGCAACAGCACGCGGAAGCACGCUGGUGAGUUCCUGACUAUCCUCGGGGCCUCUGCUCUCUGCAAUUCCCUCUGCUUGAUGAGGCUUACUUGACCAGUGGUCAUUCAUCCAUCUGUGUAUCUGGAGCCGGUCCCGCACCUUGAUUCCCUAAGUCCUGUGCCUCUGCAGCUCCACUGAAGCCUGUGGUCCAGGCUUAACCCGAUGGUGGUAUAGCAACACUGUAUACCUCCAGCAGCUUUACUGCCAAGACCUCAGCAUCUUUUCUAACCACUACGGUCCACAGAGACGUGAACUGGCUUCCUGUGCUUCUGUCCCCAUCCCUGAGCCGUCAGCUACCACACUGACAAGAUGGACUAUACUCACAAUGAGACAAAACAAAUCUUUCCUCCCUUGGAAAAAAGGAAAGUCACAAGGAAGGAAUGUUCUUUCUAGAUGCAGUGUGACUAGCCUGCUCAUGCUCCUGCUGCUGAGACUUCCCCACCACGACGGACGGACGACAGCCUUGAACCGUGAGCCAACAUAAAGCCUUCUUUCCUUCCAUUGUUCUGUCUCAGAGAUGUGAAACCAAGGAAAGUGGCCAGGAGCUACCGAGCCAGCCCACAUUUACC